GGCGGGUGGGGCGCAGCCGGCGGGCGCCCGGCGCGGCUGCGGCCCGGGCGGCCGCCGGCCCUGGGUCCGGCCCGGGCCGGCCUCC
rnacentral:tRNA from 1 species